rnacentral:rRNA from 1 species
UACGGAAGGCAGCAGUGGGGAAUAUUGCACAAUGGGCGCAAGCCUGAUGCAGCCAUGCCGCGUGUAUGAAAAAGGCCUUCGGGUUGUAAAGUACUUUCAGUCGUGAGGAAGGUGUUAAGGUUAAUAACCUUAGCAAUUGACGUUAGCGACAGAAGAAGCACCGGCUAACUCCGUGCCAGCAGCCGCGGUAAUACGGAGGGUGCGAGCGUUAAUCGGAAUUACUGGGCGUAAAGGGCACGCAGGCGGUUAAUUAAGUUGGAUGUGAAAUCCCCGGGCUUAACCUGGGAAUGGCAUUCAAGACUGGUUAGCUAGAGUCUUGUAGAGGGGGUAGAAUUCCAUGUGUAGCGGUGAAAUGCGUAGAGAUGUGGAGGAAUACCGGUGGCGAAGGCGGCCCCUGGACAAAGACUGACGCUCAUGUGCGAAAAGCGUGGGGAGCAAACAGGGAUUAGAUACC